AGGACGAACGCUGGCGGCGUGCCUAAUACAUGCAAGUCGAACGGCUUUUCUAUGGAAGCUUGCUUCCACUGAGAAGAUAGUGGCGAACGGGUGAGUAACACGUGGGUAACCUGCCCAUAAGAGGGGGAUAACAUCCGGAAACGGGUGCUAAUACCGCAUAGUUUUCUUGAUUGCAUGAUUGAGAAAGGAAAGACGGCCUUUGUGCUGUCGCUUAUGGAUGGACCCGCGGCGUAUUAGUUAGUUGGUGAGGUAACGGCUCACCAAGACGAUGAUACGUAGCCGACCUGAGAGGGUGAUCGGCCACAUUGGGACUGAGACACGGCCCAAACUCCUACGGGAGGCAGCAGUAGGGAAUCUUCCGCAAUGGACGAAAGUCUGACGGAGCAACGCCGCGUGAGUGAAAGAAGGUUUUCGGAUCGUAAAACUCUGUUGUCAGAGAAGAACAAGUUGGAGAGUAACUGCUCCAGCCUUGACGGUAUCUGACCAGAAAGCCACGGCUAACUACGUGCCAGCCGCCGC
rnacentral:rRNA from 1 species